GUAGGUAUAGUUUAACUAAGACAUUAGAUUGUGGUUCUAAAAAUAGAGGUUAAACCCCUCUUACCCGCC
rnacentral:tRNA from 1 species